rnacentral:rRNA from 1 species
AUUGAACGCUGGCGGCAGGCCUAACACAUGCAAGUCGAACGAGUGGCGGACGGGUGAGUAAUGUCUGGGAAACUGCCCGAUGGAGGGGGAUAACUACUGGAAACGGUAGCUAAUACCGCAUACCAUCGGAUGUGCCCAGAUGGGAUUAGCUAGUAGGUGGGUUAACGGCUCACUUAGGCGACGAUCCCUAGCUGGUCUGAGAGGAUGACCAGCCCCACUGGAACUGAUACACGGUCCAGACUCCUACGGGAGGCAGCAGUGGGGAAUAUUGCACAAUGGGCGCAAGCCUGAUACAGCCAUGCCGCGGGUAUGAAGAAGGCCUUCGGUUUUUAAAGUACUUUCAGCGAGGAGGCGUUACUCGCAGAAGAAGCACCGGCUAACUCCGUGCCAGCAGCCGCGGUAAUAC